rnacentral:piRNA from 1 species
UGAUGACAGGUCUAACAUGGGCAAGA